rnacentral:rRNA from 1 species
CGAACGGGUGAGUAAUACAUCGGAACGUGCCCAGUCGUGGGGGAUAACUACUCGAAAGAGUAGCUAAUACCGCAUACGAUCUGAGGAUGAAAGCGGGGGACCUUCGGGCCUCGCGCGAUUGGAGCGGCCGAUGGCAGAUUAGGUAGUUGGUGGGAUAAAAGCUUACCAAGCCGACGAUCUGUAGCUGGUCUGAGAGGACGACCAGCCACACUGGACUGAGACACGGCCCAGACUCCUACGGGAGGCAGCAGGC